rnacentral:rRNA from 1 species
UACGGAGGAUCCAAGCGUUAUCCGGAUUUAUUGGGUUUAAAGGGUGCGUAGGCGGCCUAUUAAGUCAGGGGUGAAAGACGGUAGCUUAACUAUCGCAGUGCCUUUGAUACUGAUGGGCUUGAAUGUACUUGAGGUAGGCGGAAUGAGACAAGUAGCGGUGAAAUGCAUAGAUAUGUCACAGAACACCAAUUGCGAAGGCAGCUUACUAAAGUAUGAUUGACGCUGAGGCACGAAAGCGUGGGGAUCAAACAGG